rnacentral:lncRNA from 1 species
GGCUACUAUGCUAUUGGAAGCACGGAGCCUUCCGUGCUUCCAGCUCGUUUUCGAUGUUGCGACUUUCGAAUCGUCGAUCGGCUCCGUUAAACUUGAUCUAGAGUAUUUGAAGUACCUAGAAAAUAAAUUAUGCGAUUUUUCGAUAUUAUUUAUCUAGUGAACCAAGGGACUCAAAUCAACGUUGAAAAUAAAAAUCUUACAAAACGUGAUAAUAUGACAUUAAAAUUUAGAUCAAAGAUAUUGAUCUUGUUUUAUAUAGUAUGAAGAUUUUUCUAUCAAAAUUUCAGGCGAUUUGGAUAUUUCUACACCGUUAAACUUGCAAACGCUCACUACGGCCAUUAAAAUUAUUGAUUUUGAGCCCUUCGAUCACUAGGCAAUGAUAUCGAAAAAAUAUAAAAUUUAUUUUCUAGGUACUUCAAAUACUCUAGAUCAAAUUUAACGGAGCCGAUCGACGAUUCGAAAGUCGCAACAUCGAAAACGAACUGAAAACACGAAAGGCUCCGUGCUUCCGAUAGCAUAGUAGCCUCACUAUAUAAUAUAUAUUAAUAAUAUAUAUAUAAUAUAUAUAUAUAUAUAUAUAUAUAUAUAUAUAUAUAUAUAUAUAUAUAUAUAAUAUAUGCUUCUGGAAGCACGGAGCCUUCCGUGCUUCCAGUCGUUUUUCGAUGUUGCCGACUUUCGAAUCGUCCGAUCGGCUCCGUUAAACUUGACUAGAGUAUUCGAAUACCUAGAAAAUAAAUUUGCAAUUUUCGAUAUCAUUUGCCUAGCGAACUAAGGGGCUCAAAAUCAACGGCUGAUAAUAAAAAUCUUAC